rnacentral:rRNA from 1 species
UACGUAGGGUGCAAGCGUUAUCCGGGAAUUUAUUGGGCGUAAAGAGCUCGUAGGCGGUUUGUCGCGUCUGCCGUGAAAGUCCGGGGCUCAACUCCGGGAUCUGCGUGGGUACGGGCAGACUAGAGUGAUGUAGGGGGAGACUGGAAUUCCUGGUGUAGCGGUGAAAUGCGCAGAUAUCAGGAGGAACACCGAUGGCGAAGGCAGGUCUCUGGGCCACUACUGACGUGAGAAGCGAAAGCAUGGGGGAGCGAACAGG